AGAGUUUGAUCCUGGCUCAGAACGAACGCUGGCGGCGUGGAUAAGACGUGCAAGUCGAACGAGACGGAAAGGAGCUUGCUCUGGGAAGUCAAGUGGCGGACGGGUGCGUAACACGUGAGCAACCUGCCCUGAAGUGGGGGAUAGCUCUCCGAAAGGAGGAUUAAUACCGCAUGUGAUCUUCGGAUCAAAGGUGGCUUCGGCUGCCGCUUCAGGAUGGGCUCGCGGCCUAUCAGCUUGUUGGUGAGGUAACGGCUCACCAAGGCUAUGACGGGUAGCUGGUCUGAGAGGACGAUCAGCCUCACUGGAACUGAGACACGGUCCAGACACCUACGGGUGGCAGCAGUCGAGAAUCAUUCACAAUGGGCGAAAGCCUGAUGGUGCAACGCCGCGUGGAGGAUGACGGCCUUCGGGUUGUAAACUCCUGUCAUCUGGGAGUAAUCCUUGUUCGUUAAUAGCGUGCAAGGUUGAUAGUACCAGAAGAGGAAGGGACGGCUAACUUCGUGCCAGCAGCCGCGGU
rnacentral:rRNA from 1 species